rnacentral:rRNA from 1 species
CCAAGGAGUCUAACAUGUGCGCGAGUCACUCGGUCUUGAAUAGGCCAGAGAGGCGCAAUGAAAGUAAAGUUGAUUGAGUUACGAUCCUCAUGCGGUUAUCCUUGUGGUAACGGUGAGGCGCAGUAACGGCCCGCUAAUUUCGCUUUUUGACGAUCUGGCGGAGUCGUAGCGUACACGUUGGUACCCGAAAGAUGGUGAACUAUGCCUGGGCAAGACGAAGCCAGAGGAAACUCUGGUGGAGGUCUGUAGCGAUUCUGACGUGCAAAUCGAUCGUCAGACCUGGGUAUAGGGGCGAAAGACUAAUCGAACCAUC